UACGUAGGUGGCAAGCGUUGUCCGGAUUUACUGAGCGUAAAGGGCGCGUAGGCGGAUUUUUAAGUCAGGGGUGAAAUCCCAAGGCUCAACCUUGGAACUGCCUUUGAUACUGGGAAUCUUGAGUCCGGGAGAGGUGAGUGGAACUGCGAGUGUAGAGGUGAAAUUCGUAGAUAUUCGCAAGAACACCAGUGGCGAAGGCGGCUCACUGGCCCGGAACUGACGCUGAGGCGCGAAAGCGUGGGGAGCAAACAGG
rnacentral:rRNA from 1 species